UUUGCAGAAAGCCGCUCUGGCGUCACAUUGUUCUCUUGACAAUGGGGGUUUUCCCUCUUUUUCUCCCUGCAGAGCAGCGAGAGGGGACGUCGCCUGCCGUGCCCACGCUGACCGAGGGAAGCCACCUCCCAGGCAUUCCCGGGAACAGCUGGCUUCUGUCAACAGCUCCAUCCGCCUGGCUUGUUGCUCUCCCCAGGGGCCUAGUGGGG
rnacentral:lncRNA from 1 species